GGAAGGGGCGGGGCUCUAGCACGUGUCACUGUGUGUAGUCUCGUUGGUUCGCGCGCGCCUUCACGAGGACACGUCCGGUCUCCCCCCCUCCCUGCUCCGCAGCGGCCCCGCCCCUUUUCUCCACCUCCGGACAGGUCGCCGAAUCGGAGCCCGAGAUCAGUUGAUUGACGUGCCAGGCUGGCCAAUCGCAGCGGGCGGGAACGCGGCCGGCAGCCAAUGAGCGUCGCGGGGCGGUGGUGUAAGAGCGGGAGUGCGCGCGGUGAGUGAGGGUCGCUGAGCUCGGUGUGAGGAGAUUCCCGCGAGACGCUGCACAGAGAGCCGGAGCCACAGGACCGCCGCCCCCUCCCGGCACCCAGCUAUCCGAGCGGGCCGCGCCCCGGGCCUGGCCUCCAGGUAACACACCGACACCGAGUACACCUCCCCCCUGCCGGUACCGGAACCGCUCAAAACUCCCCCCCCC